ncrna:unclassified sequences skipping-rope RNA
UGUAGAAAAGGUGGAAAAAUUCGAUGCGUCCACACUCAAUUGAAAAAUUGAUAAGAGAUGAGGGAGAAAGCGUCGCCCUCUUUCUAUG